rnacentral:rRNA from 1 species
UACGUAGGGUGCGAGCGUUAAUCGGAUUUACUGGGCGUAAAGCGUGCGCAGGCGGCCCAUUAAGACAGGUGUGAAAUCCCUGGGCUCAACCUAGGAAUUGCGCUUGUGACUGGCGGGCUCGAGUACGGUAGAGGGGGGUGGAAUUCCUGGUGUAGCAGUGAAAUGCGUAGAGAUCAGGAGGAACACCGAUGGCGAAGGCAGCCCCCUGGGCCUGUACUGACGCUCAUGCACGAAAGCGUGGGGAGCAAACAGG